UCUCCUUCUGAAGAUGAAGUCUCCUUCCCCUUGUCAGCCUCAGGGCAUCUCUCCUUCCCCUCGUCAGCCUCAGGGCAUCUCUCCUUCUGAAGAUGAAGUCUCCUUCCCCUCGUCAGCCUCAGGGCAUCUCUCCUUCUGAAGAUUAAGUCUCCUUCCCCUCAUCGGCCUCAGGGCAUCUCUCCUUCUGAAGAUGAAGUCUGUUUCCCCUCGUCGGCCUCAGGGCAUCUCUACUUCUGAAGAUGAAGUCUCCUUCCCCUCGUCAUCCUCAGGGCAUCUCUCCUUCUGAAGAUGAAGUCUCCUUCCCCUCGUCAGCCUCAGUUCAUCUCUCCUUCCCCUCGUCAGCCUCAUGGCAUCUCUCCUUCCCCUCGUCAGCCUCAGGACAUCUCUCCUUCCCCUCGUCAGCCUCAGGGCAUCUCUCCUUCCCCUCGUCAGCCUCAGGGCAUCUCUCCUUCUGAAGAUUAAAUCUCCUUCCCCUCGUCAGUGUCAGGGCAUCUCUCCUUCCCCUUGUCGGCCUCAGAGCAUCUCUCCAUCCCCUCGUCAACAUCAGCGCAUCUCUCCUUCUGAAGAUGAAGUCUCCUGCCCCUCGUCAGCCUCAGGGAUCUCUCCUUCCCCUCAUCAGCCUCAGGGCAUCUCUCCUUCCCCUUGUCAGCCUCAGGGCAUCUCUCCUUCCCCUCGUCAGCCUCAGGGCAUCUCUCCUUCUGAAGAGGAAGUCUCCUUCCCCUCAUCAGCCUCAGGGCAUCUCUCCUUCUGAAGAUGAAGUCUACUGCCCCUCAUCAGCCUCAGGGGAUCUCUCCUUCCCCUCGUCAACCUCAGGGCAUCUCUCCUUCCCCUCGUCAGCCUCAGGGCAUCUCUCCAUCCCCUCAUCAGCCUCAGGCCAUCUCUCCUCCUGAAGAUGAAGUCUCCUUCCCCUCGUCAGCCUCAGGGCAUCUCUCCUUCCCCUUGUCAGCCUCAGGGCAUCUCUCCUUCCCCUCAUCAGCCUCAGGGCAUCGCUCCUUCUGAAGAUGAAGUCUCCUUCCCCUCGUCAGCCUCAGGGCAUCUCUCCUUCUGAAGAUGAAGUCUCCUUCCCCUCGUCGGCCUCAGGGCAUCUCUCCUUCUGAAGAUGAAGUCUCCUUCCCCUCGUCAGCCUCAGGGUAUCUCUCCUUCCCCUGGUCAGCCUCAGGACAUCUCUCCAUCCCCUCGUCAGCCUCAGCGCAUCUCUCCUUCUGAAGAUGAAGUCUCCUGCCCCUCGUCAGCCUCAGGGAUCUCUCCUUCCCCUCGUCUGCCUCAGGGCAUCUCUCAUUCCCCUCGUCAGCCUCAGGGCAUCUCUCCUUCUGAAGAUGAAGUCUCCUUCCCCUCGUCAGCCUCAGGGCA
rnacentral:lncRNA from 1 species